rnacentral:hammerhead_ribozyme from 1 species
AUUAGCUGAUGAGUCCCAAAUAGGACGAAACGCGCGUCCUGGAU